GUGGGGAAUAUUGGACAAUGGGGGGAACCCUGAUCCAGCCAUGCCGCGUGUGUGAAGAAGGCCUUUUGGUUGUAAAGCACUUUAAGCGAGGAGGAGGCUACCGAGAUUAAUACUCUUGGAUAGUGGACGUUACUCGCAGAAUAAGCACCGGCUAACUCUGUGCCAGCAGCCGCGGUAAUACAGAGGGUGCAAGCGUUAAUCGGAUUUACUGGGCGUAAAGCGCGCGUAGGUGGCCAAUUAAGUCAAAUGUGAAAUCACCGAGCUUAACUUGGGAAUUGCAUGCGAUACUGGUUGGCUAGAGUAUGGGAGAGGAUGGUAGAAUUCCAGGUGUAGCGGUGAAAUGCGUACAGAUCUGGAGGAAUACCGAUGGCGAAGGCAGCCAUCUGGCCUAAUACUGACACUGAGGUGCGAAAGCAUGGGGAGCAAACAGGAUUAGAUACCCUUGUAGUCC
rnacentral:rRNA from 1 species